ACAUACGAGUAGCUUUCUUUCAGUGCUUCUCAAUAGAGCCUUCUAGUCUAGAGGUUCUAAACAUGGAAGGUCUUCACUCACUUCUCAAUUUUUCACUUGCUUUUCUCUCUCUUUUCUCAUUUGAGUCGAUGCUUUUCUCAUUUAUCUUAAUGUUUGAUAUUGCUGAAUGUGGUCAUGAUCAAUUGUGUUGCCACUGGGAUUACAAGGUCGUGGUUCACUGAUCUUAUCCCAGCUGAUUCCACACUAUUCACACUUAUGCUCAUCAGGUUCCAUUUUUUCAAUUAUUGAAUGAUAGUUGAGGAUUUUUGAGUUAUAGAUUGGAGUUACUUUUCGAUAUCUUUUGGGUCGCAAAAAGUUAACCUCUUGCAUUGCAAAUUUUCUGUUCCUUUGGUUUGACGUUGUUGGAAAUUGUCAGCUUAGGUGCACUAACUGCCUUAUCACUCACCACUGGAAAAAAAAAAAAAAAAAAAAGGGCUUUGAUGCAGCCAAGGUGCUUGACAAUAUGGCCAAAACAAUUGAAUAAUUUUCUAUACUUUUAGGUAAAAAUAGAUAGGUGUUAUUUUUCUCCUCCAAAUUUGUAGGAGCUUUAACGGUGAAAAUGAUUUCAAGUGUGAUUUCUUUAUCAAGACGGAAGACGGAUUAUUGACGGAGGAAGAUUGCGUACAGGCUCAGAACAAAAUAUAUUGAAAUGCAGAGUCAGAGUGAGACAGUGUAAAGUACUCAGAGUCCCAAGAAGAUAUGUCUUUGAACAUGAUAGACUACAUUGUGAUGAUCAUGGAAUGAUGUUGAUUCUGACUGUUUGAAGAAAGUAAAGGUUUGGAUUAAAAGAACACAUGUUAACUUAUGAUGCCUUUUUACAUCUGUUAGAUCAGAUUUUCGCUCCAAAUUUAUCUAUCUUUAAGCCAUAAUUUACUAUGGAUUUGGAAUUUCUUCUUCUUGAGCUGUGCGUCAUGCUUUCAAAAUUAUAUCAAGUAAGAUUGACAACUUUUCACACUGAUCAUUAUCAUGACCUUUUCGGUAUGCUGUGGAAUUUAAUUUUGAAUUCUAGGGGUAGUUUUGCUUUCAAGCUCCACCUUUGACUAUCCUUUGAAUGGUAUUGAAUCUCUCUUCUUUUAUACACGGGGAAUGAUAGUUGCUUUUGAGAAAGGUAAAUCACUGGUAAGUAUUUUUAAUGGGAUGAUUUCAGUGAAUAUGUUAAGAUAUUAAAUACUCCUUCCGUCCCAUUUUAAGUGUACUAGGCACAAAGUUUAAGAAAUAAAGAGAGAUUUCUGAAAUAUCAUUUUAUCUUGUGAUUAUAAACUUGUCAUGUAGGAUGUUUGAAUUGUCAACCUACUAAAUAUAGAAAGAGGCACUCUUUUUGGAAAAUACCAAAAAGGAAAGUAAGACACUUAAAUUGGGACGGAGGGAGUACCUAAUAUUUGAAAACAUGUGCUGAAUAUUUUCUCUUUAUAAUGACUUGCUAUACAGAGCUUGAAAGAGAAGCAGUUCUUGUAUGACAUUGUUGCUAAUGGGCGAAAUGGAAUAGAUGUUGACAAAUUUGAUUACAGCGAGCGUGACACCAGAGCUUAUGGUCUUAGGUACAAUUUUCAGUUCCAGAGCCAUGAUCUUUGUAUUCUAUUUGAUCCUUCUAUUUUCUAAAACUGAAGAAUUGGUCCCAAAAUCGCUACUAACUCUGGAAAAGUCAAUACUAUUUGUUACUUGCUAACUAAUGGAAACAAUGCGUGUUGUAGACAUCGAGAUAUCUUAUCGGGGCGAAGGAAUGUUAGUAUUCUUGAAAUUAUUAUGCUACAUGAAACAUUAACAUCUUUCAAAUAUAGUCAGGUACAACUUAAUGUGUCUUCUUCCUGGUAUCAUAUAUUUCUACGAUUUUAAUCAUUUUGUUCUGUUGUUAUGUAGUAUGAGGAUAGUGUACAACUUGAAUACCUGCAAAAUUGCGGAGGAUUCCUUGUGACGACAGCACUGGCUUAUGGCAAUGAAAACACUCCUGUUAACUAGGAGCCAAUCCAGAAGAAAUUUUAGACAGCCAUACUUAGAGCUUUGUUUAUGCCAUCAUCUAUGAAGGAUCCAAUACUCAGUAGAUGCCUGUUUCGAGAGAUAAAAUAAUGUACAGAUUUUUAGCGUUUUAGUGGUCUUCGCACAAGCAAGAUUACUUCAUUUGUAAAAUAGGACCCGAAAUGUUAUCUUGAGAACUGUUUACAAGUAAAGACAAUGAGAAGUUUUAUCCAUUGCUAACAAGAAAAAUAGCAGAUAUUUGAUUUAAGUUUAACAUUUUAUAUUCUCUCUGUCACAUUUCAAAUACAUAAACUUUUAGCAUGAUCAUUCUUUUCUAAUUCCCUGUAGAUAUAUUGCUGUCAGGAAAUAAUUAUUAAUCUAUAAUUGCCUUUCUAUUAGUGUAAAACUUAUGCUCCCUGAUUGUUAAGGGAGAACCAACUUGAAGUUACCUUGCACGUGCUCAUUUAUGGAAGAAGUUACUUAGCUCUCAUUUACAGGUCAAAUUGGGCUGUUCCAAUAGGUGAUUUGACUUUAAGAAUCACUAGCAUCAAUGCAAUUAAUUUUGAUCAGCUUCUUCAAGAGGGCCAAUGUCCUUUUAUGCAAUUUAAGGUUGGAAAAGUAAGAAUUUGCAAGUUUCUUCUACUCGUCCCCUAGCUUGCUCGGCUUGGGUGAUCGCAUCCUGUUCCUCCAACUUUGUCAGAAAUGGUAGCAGGCUGACUACAGCACAGACUGUGUAAAGAGAACAAUUUACAGGGUCAUUCCUCUUCUGUGCUAAAAACAGAUGAGGUUUAGAUGCUUGUAAACAGUGUUGCCGGUCAUCAACUAAUAGUUACAUCACAGCCCAUUUAUUGCAUAAUGCAUGUGUAGUUGAGAUAUUGUUGGAAUGCCAACUUUAGCGAAGAUUGAGGAACUAAAUAUCCUUAGACCAAGGAAAGUACCAUAUGCGUGAGAAUAGAGGUAAUUUAACUCAAUUAUCCUAUCCAUUUUGCUUGAUCAUUUCUUGUACAUGACACAGCGGGGUUACCGUCAGCCUGGUAAGCAAAUUCAAGAAGUAACUUCAAACAGGAAAAAGAAAGAAACCGCAAUAACUCGGCCACCAGAAAUCACGACAGCAAGAUAGAAGCUGGGAAAUAAUCCUAGCUAGAAAGGGAGGUAGUAGCAUUACAAUGGUGGUUUGACAGAUUGGUCUACAUGUGCAUGGCCUGUCUUCGACGCAAAUUUUUGCUGCUCGGAUAGGACAAUAUUGUACAUCAUCACUUAAGCUUUAUGAUGGGGAGGGUGCAAUUCUCCUACUUGAUGCAGAAAUCUUGCCUUGGCGAUUCAUGAAUCGACCCAAUGGAUGUGUGUCUAAAUAAUGGUCAGAUGGUUCUUGGUCUCAAUCUCUACCAAAAAAGAAGAAUGAAUGAAUGAAUGAAUGUUUUCAGAGGCUACUCUUCAGUGCUUAAUUUGAUCACCAAAGGCCUUUACAGUAAGCAAGACAGUUAUGUAUCGGCAGACUCUUAGUUUUAUCUAUGUGAGGUUUUCAUAGUUGACACCUUUAUAAUAUUCUUUUUGAUUGCUGUAGUUGAGUUUUCACAUGAUUUCCUGUAUGUUUUUCUUAAGGGCUGCAAAAUAUGAAUCAUUUGAUUUACUUCUGUGAAAUUUGAGUCCACAAUGAGAAAAUAAGAAUGUGUGCAAGAAUAUAAUUUCAUCAGACUAA